rnacentral:rRNA from 1 species
GUCCACGCUGUAAACUAUGUGUGCUAGCUGUUGGUGCUUACGGCAUCGGCGGCGCAGGGAAACCAUUAAGCACACCGCCUGGGGAGUACGGUCGCAAGAUUAAAACUCAAAGGAAUUGACGGGGACCCCGCACAAGCGGUGGAGUAUGUUGUUUAAUUCGACGCAACGCGAAGAACCUUACCUACGCUUGACAUACCAAGUAUGAUUUCCAGAGAUGGAUUUCUUCAGUUCGGCUGGCUUGGAUACAGGUGCUGCAUGGCUGUCGU